UACGAAGGGGGCUAACGUUGUUCGGAAUAACUGGGCGUAAAGCGCACGUAGGCGGAUUGUUAAGUCAGGGGUGAAAUCCCGGGGCUCAACCCCGGAACUGCCUUUGAUACUGGCAAUCUCGAGUCCGGAAGAGGUGAGGGGAAUUCCGAGUGUAGAGGUGAAAUUCGUAGAUAUUCGGAGGAACACCAGUGGCGAAGGCGGCUCACUGGUCCGGUACUGACGCUGAGGUGCGAAAGCGUGGGGAGAGAACAGG
rnacentral:rRNA from 1 species